UUAAAACCUAAUCAACUUAUUCCAGUAAAAACUUUGACAUGUCUUGUUCCCAACUUAAUGCUGCCAUUUCCUGUGAAAUCAGUUUCCCCAGUUUGGUUAAACAUUAAUAUCACUUUAAAAAUGUUCAAUAUUACUUUCCAACCUUUAAAAACAUAACAUACCCAGUCUCUCAGCCCCCACAUUUAUCCUGCUUUGGCAACUCUGAAUGUAGAGUUUACAAAAAUUUGUUCUGUAGAUAAAUAUAAACUGUUGUCCUUAUUUCCUAUUCUAACUUUUUUGAUCUCUACUGGUAUUUGUAUAGAUAUUUUCAAGUUCUUUUAGCAUUUUGUCACUGUUCUCCGUUUGCCUCAAGUAUAAUUCCUCCCAAUAUUUCACCCAAACUAAAAAUUUGACUUCUUUUGAAAGUCAACAAAAGAAGAUCUGUGUGUAUGUACCUUCAAAUAUGCAAUGUUUAUAAAACCUAAAUAUCCUUAUGUGGUUGAUUAAUAUUUCCAAAACAAAAUAAUUUCCUUCGUUCUCCUCCUGUCUCUG
rnacentral:lncRNA from 1 species